GAUGAAGAACGUAGCGAAAUGCGAUACUUGGUGUGAAUUGCAGAAUCCCGUGAACCAUCGAGUCUUUGAACGCAAGUUGCGCCCGAAGCCACUAGGCCGAGGGCACGCCUGCCUGGGCGUCACACGCCGUUGCCCCCCCAUCUACUCCUUCGGGAUUGCGGGGGGGCGGAUGAUGGCCUCCUGUGCGCCUAGCCGCGCGGUUGGCAUAAAUACCAAGUCCUCGGCGACGCACGCCACGACAAUCGGUGGUUGCGAAACCUCGGUUGCCCGUCGUGUGCGUUCGUCGCGCAUCGAGGGCUCGAAAAAAUGCUCGGCUCCGGCUGGGCUUUCAACGCGACCCCAGGUCAGGCGGGGUUACCCGCUGAAUUUAAGCAUAUCAAUAAGCGAAGGA
rnacentral:misc_RNA from 1 species